CCUACGGGAGGCAGCAGUGGGGAAUAUUGCACAAUGGGGGAAACCCUGAUGCAGCGACGCCGCGUGAGUGAAGAAGUAAUUCGUUAUGUAAAGCUCUAUCAGCAGGGAAGAAAAUGACGGUACCUGAGUAAGAAGCCACGGCUAACUACGUGACAGCAGCCGCGGUACUACGUAGGGGGCAAGCGUUAUCCGGAUUUACUGGGUGUAAAGGGAGCGUAGACGGCAGUGCAAGUAUGGAGUGAAAGGCGGGGGCUCAACCCUCAGACUGCAUUGGAAACUGUAAGGCUGGAGUGCAGGAGAGGUAAGUGGAAUUCCUAGUGUAGCGGUGAAAUGCGUAGAUAUUAGGAGGAACACCAGUGGCGAAGGCGGCUUACUGGACUGUAACUGACGUUGAGGCUCGAAAGCGUGGGGAGCAAACAGGAUUAGAUACCCUAGUAGUC
rnacentral:rRNA from 1 species